GGUCGCUUAGCUCAGCUGGGAGAGCACUGCCUUACAAGCAGGGGGUCAUAGGUUCGAGCCCUAUAGCGACCA
rnacentral:tRNA from 1 species